rnacentral:lncRNA from 1 species
AGAAGGCGCUCAGCCUUCUCCGCGCAGGCUGGCACUUGCGUAAGUGGAGGUGGCGGUUGGGUCGCGGUUGGCCAGAUGCUCCCAGCAGUUGCUCUGACCCUGCCCCGCCCUCACCUGGGCCUGUGAGUCACCGAUGGGGGGCGGGGAGGGCAGGGGAUCUGGGAGUGAGGUGCCGCCACCUGCCUGUUGAUAGGACGUAGCCUUGGGGUCACUGUGUCAGAGCGGGAAUGUGCAAACGGGGACACUCUGCCCCCGGCCGGGACGGCAAAGAGGCCACCCCGCCCCCCGGGCCAGCUCUGGUCAACGGCCGGGCCCCCGAGGGGCCUCUGGGCUUGGUUCUCGAGCAGUGGGACGCUUGGCGGUGUCUGGAGACAUUCUGUCCAUCACGGUUUGCGGGGGGGGGGGGGGGGGGGGUGCGGCUACUGGCUUCUAGAGGGUCCAGGUCAGCGGUGCCGUCCAACAUCCUUCAAAGCACAGGUCGGGCCCCCAACACAGACAUCCACGAAGAAUGACCUGGCCCCAGAUGUCCACAGCCCCCCGUGAGAAACCGGCUUGGGGGCAAAAGGAGCUGCCGUCCGUUCCUUCUGCUUCUCACGUCUGCCCUUGGCACCUGGGCUGUUCACUUGUGAUCCCAGACCCACCGGGCAAACCGUCCGAAAGCAGCCGGUGCCUCCCCCUGCCCCCGCCCUUCCUCUCCGGACCUUUUACUCCCACAGUCUCUGUGCGGCUGGCUCCAGGAGGGCCCGGGGCUGCGGGGGAUGCUUGGACCCGGGCCGCGUGUUACACAACCCAGGGUUUCAUCAACCUGGUGGCCUUGUACGGAUUGCUGUUUUCUUGGGGAUGGUUUUUAUAUGGGCAGGAGUUGAAAUCUCACAUGCCUCCAGGGGCCCGACCAGAAGAGAAGGGACUUGAACAGGCAGGUGGAGGCAAUGGUUCGGCGCCUGGGCGGCUUAGAGAGACGGGGCAGCUGCCGGGAGGCUCCAGCUUCUUCCGGCGCCUGCAGACUGAUAGCCUCAAACUGCUACAUUUUUGAAUUUUUUUUUUUUUUAAAGAGAAGUCAGAAAUUUGGUUUUUGUUUUUGCUUUUUUUUAAAUCUGCUAUUUCCUCAUUUUUAAACGUGGAUGCAAAUUGUUUGAAAAUAAAGCGUCAGUGGGUCCAGCCAGCCCCCAGCUGUCCCUUGUGCACCCUCUGUGGUGCCUCAAGCAGGGCCCAGCUCCCCAAGACACGGCGAUGUGCACCUGCUCCAGUGACAUCACACUGCCCACCUGGCCAAGGAUGCACCCUCGAGGGGGCUGGGGCAGAAGACAGCAUGGCCGGCGAGGAGGGAGGGACGGGACCCGGAACGAGUUCCAGGUUGGGCUUUCAGACCCUGACCCCAACCCGGCACCUCCCAGCUGGCUCCCCCGUGGCUCCUUCCAGGAGCCCCUUAAACUCCGGACCCCAGGAUUCUGCCCAAGCCUUGCCGAACAGGAAUCCCGCAGGUCUGACCAGGAAUAUGUGCUCCAGAACACUUUCUAGUAACAUUUUCUAUCUUCUUGGGGUGUUGGUUUACCAAGUGUAUGUGUUUGUCUGAACUCACCAAGUGCCUUGCUUCAUUGUGUUUAAUUUUAUAGAAAGAAGGAAAGGAAGGAAGACAGGGAAAGGAAGAGGGAGGCUGAGCCAACACCCACGUCUCCGCCUCCUGGUCCCGUAUGACUGAUGCCCGGGGUGUCUCAAACCUUUCCUCUCGUGGUCUCCCCAUCACUGUUCCCGUACUCACUAUUUCUCUUUAAAUAGACUCACCUAAUGGGAAAACCAGCCACAAAUCCAAGGUAGGCGUAAAAACAAAUACAAUGUAACAAAAUACCACAUCAGGGGUCCAGCAGGUUCUCUGACUGUCAGAGGAUGGGAACCAGGUCUAUGGACACAGAGAAGGAAAAUCACGGGGGUCCACACCUGAUGGGGGCGGAAGCUUCUCGCUACACAAUUCAGCGUCAUUUCACACAGGGUCUGUGAUCCCGAGUCGCCUCUGGGGAUCGCCUCUGAGGCACCGGUCUGUGCUUCAGCAAGGACGCCCUGCACCCCACUGACCGCGGGCCGCUAGCCUGGGAAUGAGGCCCUCC